rnacentral:rRNA from 1 species
GACGAACGCUGGCGGCGUGCCUAAUACAUGCAAGUAGAACGCACAGUUUAUACCGUAGCUUGCUACACCAUAGACUGUGAGUUGCGAACGGGUGAGUAACGCGUAGGUAACCUGCCUGGUAGCGGGGGAUAACUAUUGGAAACGAUAGCUAAUACCGCAUAAUAUUGGUUAUUGCAUGAUAAUUAAUUGAAAGGUGCACUUGCACCACUACCAGAUUGACCUGCGUUGUAUUAGCUAGUAGGUGAGGUAACGGCUCACCUAGGCGACGAUACAUAGCCGACCUGAGAGGGUGGUCGGCCACACUGGGAAUGAGACACGGCCCAGACUCCUACGGGAGGCAGCAGUAGGGAAUCUUCGGCAAUGGACGAAAGUCUGACCGAACAACGCCGCGGGAGUGGAGAAGGUCUUCGGAUCGGAAAGCUCUGUUGUAAGAGAAGAACGGGUGUGAGAGUGGAAAGUUCACACUGUGACGGUAUCUUACCAGAAAGGGACGGCUAACUACGUG